rnacentral:lncRNA from 1 species
AGUUCUGAAGAACAAGUUUGAUGUGCAGAAGCCUUUGUCAGAGGUUCUGGAACAAGAUAGCAUGUAGAAUUUGAAGGACAAGAAUGAGGGAAGAGUAUCUACAGGAAAGAUAGCAAAAGGGAAGGAGCGGCUGGCUGCUUGCCUUGGAGUUCCUAUUCAGGAAGCUGCCCAGUUUUUGGAGAGUUUUUUGCAGAAGUACAAGAAAAUCAAGGACUUCGCCCGAGCAGCUAUUGCCCAGUGUCACCAGACAGGCUGUGUGGUGUCCAUCAUGGGCAGAAGGAGACCCCUGCCAAGGAUUCACGCUCAUGACCAGCAACUCCGGGCACAAGCAGAGCGACAGGCAGUGAACUUCGUGGUGCAAGGUACCAGAAGCCUCUUACCUGUAGUUCUGUGUCCAUUUGCUUCUUGGGUUUUAGCAGCCGCAGGGCUGGGUGGCACCCACCGAUCACUGUUGCGGUAUUUCCUGCUCAUCACAAACCUCCUUGCAGGAGCUUACACUACCCAUGUCCUGCCUGGCAGUUACUGUCAGGAGGCAUGAGGGGACACGGUCAUCUUUGUAGCUAGGAUGAUUGGAUGAUUCCCGCAAGAACUGGGCCCAG